ACCCCAGGGCAGGCGGGGCCACCCGCUGAGGUUAAGCAUAUCAAGAAGCGGAGGAAAAGAAACGUACAAGGAUUCACCUAGUAACGGCGAGCGAACCGAGAACAGCCCAGCGGGAAAAGCGGCGGGCGGCGGCCGAAGGGGAGGCGGGAGAAGCGUCCGCGGCGGCGGACCGGGCCCAAGGCCCCGGGAAAGGGGCGGCCAGAGAGGGUGAGAGCCCCGGCGGGCCCGGACCCGGGCGCACCACGAGGCGCGGGCGCCGAGGCGGGUUGUUUGGGAAUGCAGCCCCAAUGGGGCGGGAAAGUCCGUCCAAGGCUAAAUACGGGCGAGAGACCGAGAGCGAACAAGGACCGCGAGGGAAAGAGGAAAAGGACUUUGAAAAGAGAGGCAAAGAGGGCGGGAAAUGGGCGGGAGGGAAGCGGAGGGGGGCCGGCGAGGCGCCCCGGGCGGAUGUGGAACGGCCAAAAGCCGGGCCGCCGAGCGGCGCGGGGUGCGGACCGACGCGGAGGGGGAGGGCGGCGAAACCCCGGGUGUCCGGGAGCGGCGGCCCCGCGAGCGGGGAGGCAGCGCGCGCCGGCACGGCGUGCUUCGGCACCGGCGCGCGCCAGGCGGCGGCCGGCGGGCCCCCCAUUCGGCCCGCCUUGAAACACGGACCAAGGAGGCGGACAUGUGUGCGAGUCAACGGGCGAGGAAACCCGGACGGCGCAAGGAAGCGAAUUGGCUGGAUCCCCUAGCGGGUGCACCGACGACCGACCGGGAGCGGCGGAGAAGGGGCGAGGGAGAGCAGACCGGGCGGGACCCGAAAGAGGGGAACGAGGCCGGAGCGGGGCGAAGCCAGAGGAAACGCUGGUGGAGGCCCGAAGCGAGACGGACGUGCAAAGCGGGCGGCGGACGGGGGAGAGGGGCGAAAGACGAAGCGAACCGGCGAGGAGCGGGGCCCGCCGAAGGGGCCCGCAGGAGAGCGGGAGCGCAGGCGCGAGGGCGAGCAGGGAAAGCCAAGGAGGAGAGGCCGCGGGGGCGCAACGCCCGCGACCUAUUCUCAAACUUUAAAAAGGGAGGACGGCGCGGCGGCGGGGGGAGCCGGGCCAGGGAAGCGAGAGCGCCAAGGGGGCCAGGGGGAAGCAGAACUGGCGAGGCGGGAGGAACCGGAAGCCGGGUUACGUGGCCCAACUACGCGCUAACCUAGAACCCACAAAGGGUGUUGGUCGAUAAAGACAGCAGGACGGUGGGGCAGGGAAGGCGAAAUCCGAUAAGGAGUGUGUAACAACUAACCUGCCGAAUAAACUAGCCCCGAAAAUGGAGGGCGCGGAAGCGCGGGACCUAUACCCGGCCGGCGGGGCAAGGGCCAGGCCCCGAGGAGUAGGAGGGCGCAGCGGGCGCGGCAAAACCGGGGCGGGAGCCAGGGCGGAGCGGCCGUUGGUGAUGAUCUUGGUGGUAGUAGCAAAUUUUCAAAUGAGAACUUUGAAGGCAGAAGAGGGGAAAGGUUCAAUGUGAACGGCACUUGAACAUGGGUUAGUCGGUCCUAAGAGACGGGGGAAGCCGGGCCGAUAGCGCGUUUCGCGCGAGCAUCGAAAGGGAAUCGGGGGAAAAGUCCUGGACCGGGACGUGGCGGUUGACGGUAACGUUAGGAAGGCCGGAGACGGCGGCGGGGGCCUCGGGAAGAGUAUCUUUUCUGUUUAACAGCCGGCCCACCCGGGAAUCGGCUCAGCCGGAGGGAGGGGCCAGCGGCGGGAAGAGCACCGCACGGGGGGGGGCCGGGGCGCCCCCGGCGGCCCGGGAAAAGCCGGAGGACCGAGGGCCGACCACGCCCGGGCGUACUCAUAACCGCAUCAGGCCCCCAAGGGAACAGCCUCUGGUCGAUGGAACAAUGGAGGCAAGGGAAGGCGGCAAAAGGAGCCGGAACGGCGGGAAAAGGAGGGGCGCGGAGGGCGGGGCACGGGGGUCCCAGCCCCGAACCCGUCGGCUGGCGGCGGACGGCUCGAGCUGCUUCCGUGGCGAGGGCGGGGCGCCGCGGGCCGGCCGGGGGACGGACGGGGAACGGGCCCGGCGGGGGCCGGCCCGGGCGGCGAACAGGCAACGCAGAACGGGGACGGACAAGGGGAAGCCGACGGGGAAGGAAAACAAAGCAGGGCGAGGGGCCCGGCGGAGGGGAACGCAAGGGGAGGGCGGCCCAGGGCGCGGAAGGGCAAAGGGAAGAAAGGCAACCAAGCGCGGGAAACGGCGGAGGAACGAGGACGCGCGGAAGGGAGCCAAAGGCCGCGGCAGCGAAGGAGGGACGCGCAGGAAGGGAGGAACGAGAGGCCCACGGGCCCGGGCGACGAGCCAGCGAAACCACAGCCAAGGGAACGGGCUUGGCAGAAGCAGCGGGGAAAGAAGACCCUGUUGAGCUUGACGUUAGUCCGACUUUGUGAAAUGACUCGAGAGGUGUUGUAUAAGUGGGAGUUUCGGCGUAAGUGAAAUACCUUUACUUUUAAUGUUAUUUUACUUACUCCGUGAGGCGGAAGCGGGGCAAGGCCCCGCCGGGGAGACCGAAGGGCCGCGGGCGGGCCGAGCCGGGGGGAGGACAUUGUCAGGGGGGGAGUUUGGGUGGGGCGGCACAUCUGUUAAAAGUUAACGCAGGUGUCCUAAGAGGAGCGCAACGAGAACAGAAAUCUCGUGAGGAACAGAAGGUUAAAAGCGCGGGGGAGGCGGAGGGCAGGACGAAGACGAACCGGGAAAGCGGGCCGAACGAGCCGGGAGACCGGGGAAGGGAAAGCGAGAGGGGGCAGAAAAGGGACCACAGGGAGAACGGGCGGGGGCAGCCAAGCGGCAGAGCGACGGGGCGGGAGCCGGGAGAGCGGGCGCGGCCGAGCAGGGAAGCAGAAGGCACCAAGGGGGGAGGGGCACCCACCAAGAGGGAACGGGAGCUGGGGGGAGACCGGCGGGAGACAGGGAGGACCCGACGGAGGACAGGGGCGCAAGGGGAAGGCAACCGAGGACGAGAGGAACCGGGGAGGCACACAAGGGGGCAGCGCGCGGGGGGGAAAAGCCAGUGGCGCGAAGGUACCGUGUGCUGGGUUAUGACUGAACGCCUCUAAGGCAGAAGCCGGGCCAGAAGCGACGCAGGCGCCCGCCGCCGGAUUGC
rnacentral:rRNA from 1 species